AGAUAAGAAAACUUCAAAUAAUGAGAGAUGAAUCAGUAUAUUCUCAAAAUAAGAUUUUGUAGUAUAGAGGUUUGAUAAUGCUUUUAGAUUUGAUAUCCCCUUCCUGCCAAUUUCUCAUAAAUGUGUGAAUUUUAAUUUUUAGUCUUAAUAUUUCAUCACAUGCUUCCUUUUUUUACAUUCGGGUAAUUACAACCGGUCUCUUCUGUUUGGUUUUCUGCCUCAUGUAUCACUGCUUUUGGGGCUAGUAACUUAGCUUACUAUUUUUCUACAUGGUCCAUCUGUCCCUAAGAUUUGAUUUCUUAUUUUCCAUUUUUAGCUUUGUAUUAGUAGUGAGAAAUAUAUCUGAUUGGCUGUGGAGGCAAGUUUAUCUCAAGAUUUUUAAAGUUGCUUUCAU
rnacentral:lncRNA from 1 species